rnacentral:lncRNA from 1 species
ACUACCUCUAUCUCCGGCAUCUCCUGCUAGUUUCCUUUAAAAAGCAUGUUUUCCGCUGUACAUAGGAUGUAUCGCACAUAAAUAUGUACUCAUCCAUUUUCUACCUCAAUUUCUAUUUGCUCCUCUUUAUAUUCGGUUGCACACUUAAUUGUCAAUCUUAAAUGUAGGUGCUUUGUCCAGAUACAAGCAGAGAAUAUAUUCUCCCAAGAGGUGUUAUUGAAGUGUGCAUAAGAAGCUGGGUAAUGACUCUAAUCCUCCUAAACACGAAUCCUCGGAUUCUCAAAUCUGCUUGUCGAAUUCUCGGGUUCCCUCACUAG